rnacentral:rRNA from 1 species
UUCGGACCUUGCGCUAAUAGAUGAGCCUAAGUCGGAUUAGCUAGUUGGUGGGGUAAAGGCCUACCAAGGCGACGAUCUGUAGCGGGUCUGAAAGGAUGAUCCGCCCCACUGGGACUGAGACACGGCCCAAACUCCUACGGGAGGCAGCAGUGGGGAAUAUUGGACAAUGGGGGGAACCCUGAUCCAGCCAUGCCGCGUGUGUGAAGAAGGCCUUUUGGUUGUAAAGCACUUUAAACGAGGAGGAGGCGCUCUAGGCUAAUACCCUAGAUGCGUGGACGUUACUCGCAAAAUAAGCACCGGCUAACUCUGUGCCAGCAGCCGCGGUAAUACAGAGGGUGCGAGCGUUAAUCGGAUUUACUGGGCGUAAAGCGCGCGUAGGUGGCUAAUUAAGUCAAAUGUGAAAUCCCCGAGCUUAACUUGGGAAUUGCAUUCGAUACUGGUUAACUAGAGUAUGGGAGAGGAUGGUAGAAUUCCAGGUGUAGCGGUGAAAUGCGUAGAGAUCUGGAGGAAUACCGAUGGCGAAAGCAGCCAUCUGGCCUAAUACUGACACUGAGGUGCGAAAGCAUGGGGAGCAAACAGGAUUAGAUACCCUGGUAGUCCAUGCCGUAAACGAUGUCUACUAGCCGUUGGGGCCUUUGAGGCUUUAGUGGCGCAGCUAACGCGAUAAGUAGACCGCCUGGGGAGUACGGUCGCAAGACUAAAACUCAAAUGAAUUGACGGGGCCCGCACAAGCGGUGGACAUGUGCUUUAAUUCUAUGCAUCGCGAAAACCUUACCUGGCCUUGACUUACGAGACUUUCC